rnacentral:lncRNA from 1 species
CAACUUAUCACAAUACCAGAGUGAGCUAUAACUAGAUGUUGUGCCCUGGGAUGCAACUGCAGCAGGUCCUUUAUUUGGAGAAGAGACUUAGGAAUGGAGAAAGAACAAGAGAAGAUUCUAAGACAGAGAUGCCUGUGAUGUCAGAUGGUUUUCCGGGAGCUUCACCCAAUGCUGCAUUAGCAAGACUACUUGAGCUCAGAAUCUAGACAGUGGAUCACCAUUGCUAUAUGAAGCUGGCUCGUGCCAAUGUGCCUGCCCUCUGUGGCCAGGAGGUGUGGUUUUAAAAGUGACAUGGCCAACCGGCCAAGCCUACCACAGAUUCUUCCAUCACGCUGUAGAUUCUAAUGCCACUUCAACAUUUUCUAAUGCUUUUUUUUUUGUUGAGAAAGCUUGACUAUCUCCAUUGUUUAUGUUUCCCUUUGUUUAUUUGUUUUAUUUUGUUUUUGUUUUUCCAGGUUGGUAAAUAAAUCUGCUAGAUAUACUUCA